ensembl:lncRNA
AGUACUCCAGGCUUUAGAAGCUCAAAGGAGAGGGGUGGCAAAAAAUCAGGCACAAAGACAGUAGCCGGCUUGGACAUGGCUAAAUAGUGCAGGCGACAGGAAAAAGGGGCGGCGGGGGGCGGGGGAGCUGGAGCGUGAAGAGAGAAAUUAAAAGCAAUGAAUUGGUAGGCGUGAGCAGUUUUCCCUGGAAGCUGGAGAUGCAGGCAGGAUGAGCUUCGAGUCAGCCUCUGUUUGGAUGGCUUAGUCUGGCUUGCAUCUGGAUUCUUUUUUAUUUUUUUUUCAUUUUUAAAAUUUUUUUUCUUUUCAUUUUACAUUCCAACCACAGUUCUCCCUCCCUCCCCUCCUCCCAGAACCUCCCUCCCCCGCCUCCUCCCACAUAGGUCUUCAGUCAAGGGUAUACGCAGUAGCUGCUCCCUUCUAGAACCUCCAAGUGUCUGGAUUCUUAAGGAUCCCGGAGCUCUGUUGAGUUCAGGAAGUCACCGUGCCUCUGUUUCCUUGCUUUGUGGGCUGAGUUAGACCUCUUAAGUUUCCCUUCAGUUGAAACAUUGUAUGGAUUUGUUGUUGAGAAAUGCAAUACAGAUUGCAUACAGUUGGCAAUCCCCAAAUCGUUUGUGUGACGUCUGGUUGCUGUACCGGGAGACUUAAAAACCUCCAUCUUGCUCGUCUUCAGCAUCCUGUAGCUCAAGACUCCUCGGGAAAGUGUAGAAGAGGGCCCCCCAGGAUGUGGUAACUGCUAUCAAGCUUCCCAGUACCAGCUGAGGAGAGCCAGCUCCCGGAGACCUGGAAACUUGUAGUAUUUCAGGGCACCGGAGCUGUUGGGUAGUGGGAGCAUUGGUAAGGAACUGGUAUGGAGUGAAGCUGGACUCUCAGAACACUGAAGCAACACCGGAACCUAAUGGGUUAGCAAUUGAGUAGACCACUCUUUUCUGUAAGAUUCACAUCUUAAAAGAAAACUUUCUGUUAGAAGGCUCCCAAGAAAUCAGAUACUGUUAGCUGGAAUGCAAGAAUGUGGGCAAAUAGGAAAAUUCCUAGGUCCCCCAACCCUGUCUGAUGAUUCUUACCCUUUGUCACUUCUUGGGAAAAAUCCUAUGUGAUGGCUGUUUUAAACACUGGUCCUGGAGAAGAUGCGGGCUCCGGCUCUGAAGAAACCCAUGUUACAUUUCCUCCUCCAUUUAGGAUUUGAUGGUCCUGCUUAUCUAGAGUGCUCACAUUGUGAACACCGUGGCGGGCUGGGGAUUUUAAUUCUGCCUUGAUGGAAUUUGAACCUAAACAUGAUGCCAGUGCCACUUUAUAAACUGGGAAUCAUUAAGCUGGCUACAAAUACCUCGAGGGGUCCUUGCUCGUUCAACAUAAAUCAGUAAAAUGACAGGCAAUUGACUUUGAAGACAGCUCUCAUGCGGCUGAGUGGCUGGAGCUGCUGGAAGCAGAUGAGGCCAUUUUCCUGUAAACAUGCUUUGGAUUAGCACCAGAGUAAACAGCAGAUUGGGCUGUGUCUUCCAGACUCCAGCCUACCCUGGAUCUUUUAUUAGGCAGAAACCAACAUGCCCCUCAGGGCAGGGAAGUUGCCAAUUGGAAGAACUAAGUUUGGAUUUCAACUACUGAGUGUCAACAGUUCAGAGAGAAAGGGGGAAGAUGAGGAAUUCAUGGCACAUUCCAGAGAAUCCAAAUAUCCUACUGUGUGACCACAGGUGCAUUGCAAGGAUGCAGUCUGCCUCUUUGUAUCUCAUUGGGAUUUACCAGCUUUCGUCUGAGAAAACAGGGAAGGCUUAGCUCACAUCCUUGGACACUGUUUCCCAAUGGCUCAGGCUUCUACUGAUGUCACUCAGGCCCUUGGCCAAACUGUGAAAAGAGAUGAUGGCUGUGAGUUAUUCAAGAAGUUCUUGGCCCAUG